UGUUAAUCGUUGGACCUACUCUUCUACCGUGAAUGAAAGGAUUGAUUAUCAUUAUCAGUAAUCAUUUUAAAGUGACAAGAGACAUUGGAUUAACCUUGUGCAGCGUUUUUAUUCCUUUGAACACAACUUUUGAUCACAAAACAGCCAAGGCCGCCAUGUUGUGUCCUUUCUGUGGCCAACAUCUGGGGACAGUUCAAGUGUUCUGUGGCUCCUGUGGCAAACAUGUACAGUUUUUGGCAGAAGUUGAACACAACAACAUUCCAUUAGGAGGGUCAGGAACUCACGCUUGGGACCACCAGUGUCCACUCCAUCCUCAGUUUGUCCCUCAUCAUCAGUAAACUUAACCUGCAUCUGAUGAGAGGGGUCGAAUGAGGCCCCUUUGAAGCCGCGGAUUGCUCCAUCCCAUACAUUGGCUCUAUUAAUAUUGAACCUGCUGCAAGAGGUAUUUUUAAUUUUUGCAGAGAGUUCUGCAACAAUGUCUGGCGCAGUCAGGUAUUCUGUGCUGGGAAAGACAAAGUGAUGUAUUGUAAUAUUAAAUGAUGAAGCUAGUAAUAAGAUUUACAGUAUAGAAUAAAAAAAUUAAGUGAUAAAAGUAACAAUUAAUAAAUUUCCUCUGCAGUUUGCUCCGUUUCCUCUUCUGGCUCAGACUGGCUGUCAAUAAUGAUAAGUGCAUACACAUUUGUGUAGUUGCUGCAGUGAGAAGACAGUUGAAUAAUUACUUUCAAAUACAUAAUAUAUGCAUGACAGUCAUAUUUACAAAAGGAUGUCGAUCCUCUUCCUGUUUUUUUUAAUACAUUGGGUUCUAAACUGACAACAGCACUUUUGUCAUACUCCUGCACAAUCCUUGUAAACAUUUGAAAUGGAUGCAACAAACAAUAUCUGAUCUUUGAAAAAUAUUUGUGGGUGUU